GUUCCCAGAGCACACUCGUGGGGGCUUCUCACUGCUCCACACCGGGACUCACGCUGUCCACUCAGGCUGUAGUGCCCGCCUUCUGCUCAUCUGCCUGGCAAGGUCUUGUCCACCUGGAGGCAUCCAUGAAGACCAGCUGCUGUAACAAACCCCAAACCUCAGUGCUUUACUUCACCAUUCGGUGCAGAGCACACGUCUUCAGCCAUUCUGCCCCAGAUCCUGCAGGACGGAAUUGGUGAGGAUGGCUCCAUUCAUCCCAGAAAAGCACAUGGGGAAUGUUGGUAUUCAGAGCUGCAUGUUUCAUUUUUAAAUUAGAAACACUUACGUAUGAA